CGAAAAAAGGACCCCUAAACUCUGUUUCUAUAUGUAACUUCUGAGUAAAACCAUAAAUAAAUCAAAACUUUCAACAACGGAUCUCUUGGUUCUGGCAUCGAUGAAGAACGCAGCAAAAUGCGAUAAGUAAUGUGAAUUGCAGAAUUCAGUGAAUCAUCGAAUCUUUGAACGCACAUUGCGCCCGCCAGUAUUCUGGCGGGCAUGCCUGUUCGAGCGUCAUUUCAACCCUCAAGCCCCCGGGUUUGGUGUUGGGGAUCGGCGAGCCCUUUGCGGCAAGCCGGCCCCGAAAUCUAGUGGCGGUCUCGCUGCAGCUUCCAUUGCGUAGUAGUAAAACCCUCGCAACUGGUACGCGGCGCGGCCAAGCCGUUAAACCCCCAACUUCUGAAUGUUGACCUCGGAUCAGGUAGGAAUACCCGCUGAACUUAAGCAUAUCAAUAAGCGGAGGAA
rnacentral:rRNA from 1 species